rnacentral:rRNA from 1 species
CCUACGGGAGGCAGCAGUGGGGAAUUUUGGACAAUGGGCGAAAGCCUGAUCCAGCAAUGCCGCGUGAGUGAAGAAGGCCUUCGGGUUGUAAAGCUCUUUUGUCAGGGAAGAAACGGUGAAAGCUAAUAUCUUUUGCUAAUGACGGUACCUGAAGAAUAAGCACCGGCUAACUACGUGCCAGCAGCCGCGGUAAUACGUAGGGUGCAAGCGUUAAUCGGAAUUACUGGGCGUAAAGCGUGCGCAGGCGGUUUUGUAAGUCUGAUGUGAAAUCCCCGGGCUCAACCUGGGAAUUGCAUUGGAGACUGCAAGGCUAGAAUCUGGCAGAGGGGGGUAGAAUUCCACGUGUAGCAGUGAAAUGCGUAGAUAUGUGGAGGAACACCGAUGGCGAAGGCAGCCCCCUGGGUCAAGAUUGACGCUCAUGCACGAAGACGUGGGAGGACGAACAGAGUAGAUACCUACGGUAGUACCGACCGACCCUAACCGACUAGUCUACUAGUUGUCGGUUCGUUAUUAGUAC